GGGCCCGCACAAGCGGCGGAGCGUGCUCUUUAAUUCGUCGCAACGCGAAGAACCUUACCAAGGCUUGACAUGGACCUGCAUCCCCGGGAAACCGGGUGGCCUUCGAGGGUGGUCCACAGGUGCUGCA
rnacentral:rRNA from 1 species